CUGGUAACCAAUAUAAACAGCUUUGAAACCUAAGAAAGGAAGGAAGGUUUAAGAUGCAGAACCUUGCUUUCCCUUGAAGAAGGUGUUGAGGGAGGCGACCUUGAAGGUACUUGGUCACGCCUCCAAGACCUGCAUCUGGACCAGGCAGUGUGGAAGGAAACUUUUGCUGGGAAACAAUGACCAGAACCCAACAGGGAAAGACCUGUCUUUCCCACCAUUUCCAUCAGUCACUCCCCCCACGGCUGGGAUGGGGCAUGAAUUUUCCCCACUCAAAACCAAGAAACAAGGAGGAGUGUGCUUUGGUGUCCAGUGUACCUCCAGUCUUCCACUUUAGCCCGUAUCGCUGCACACACCUCAAGAACCAGUAUUUGAAAAGGGCGGCUACAAACCUUACCUUCUCUCAGGAGGUGGUAUGGCAGCGAGGGCUUCCCAGCAUCCCUUACAGCCAGUACAACUUUGACCAUCUCUACAACACAGACCACAUCAUCCAGCCUCUCCAGAUCAGGAGGGCCCGAUCUGAGAAACCCACUGGCUUUAAGUCCUUGGGUUCUUCAGGUCUCUCAGCAAGGGUCACCUCCCAGGCUGUGAAGACAGAAAGUUCCGCCAAUCUUAAGCAGCCACGAAAACCAAAGCUAGCAAGGGUGGUCCAUGAAAAACCUUCCCCUGGCAUCUCUCAUUCUGGCAGGGAUCUGGACAUGCUGGGUAUGUCGCUUUCUCCAGAUGUGAACCUGGAGAGAGAAACCUGGCUUCCACCUCCUGAGAAGGAGGCCCAAGCCUGGGAAGCCAUCGUGCUGGAAAAGCUGAACAAGCGCACUGCCCGAUGGAUCCAGAGCAAACGUCCUCUGAGAUCUGGGGUCUCCCCCAACAAGUGGCAGAGUUUUCUGCGCCAGCAAUAUGACUGGAGCCACAUCCGGGAUGAGCUUACUUCCACCAGUGACCUGGAGCUCUUGAAACGGCUAGAGGAAGAAGAAACAGCAGAAUUUGAGGAUCAAAGUGUUAUCCUGCCAACCCAGGAAAAAGAAAAGCCAGAGCUGCUGCUUCCUGUUUAUUAUAGACUGCCCAAUUACUUGCCACAAGUGCAGACAACUGAAACUAUGCCUGGCAACAAUAAGACUGCUGAGGAUAUCAAAGGAAAGAACGUCCACCAGCCCCCAAAGCAGAGCUACUUCCGACAGGUGAAUCCUCGAGCUGGAAAGUUUGCUUACUCCACAGCCAACACCUAUGAACAGGAGAUAUACUUUGAUCAAGUCCAGGUUAUCCACCAGAUUGGUGCGAAGAGAGACCACAUUUUCCUGGAAAACUUCAAUCGGUACAAGAAGCAGCUGUCUAAAGUCUUCCCUGAAACCCCAGAAAGGUGGACUUCCCAGCCAGUUCCCGAAGCACCCUACAGGCCUGUGAAAGGAGCCCCACGCUGGACGGCUCUGCCCACCCCAGCCAAGGAUCUGCUGUUCCAGCUGAGUGAGAAGGAUGCCAGUAAGACCAGAAGACUGAAGAAGCAGGAAGAAUCACUGAAGGAGGAUGGGACUUGGGAACUGGGGGCCCUGCAGAGGAUGCUGGAGGAAUGGAAGACUGCCUGGGCUCUGAUCAUUGAGUGGCAUCAUGAGACAAUAGAGGGCCUGAUGCGGGGCUUGGUGGACAUGCAUGAUGAUGUUCGGAUCCAAGCCAUCAUCACAUGUGCCACAGCUGCUUUAGAACAGCCCCGGAAUGCCACCAGCCAGGGGGACUCAGGCAAGGAGGAGACUGUGAAAGCCCCAUCUAUCCAGGACUUGCCAGAGGUUCUACAGCCCGCCCUGGAGGCUGCUCUUUGUGACAAAAAUGCCAAUGUGCGGAUGGCAGCGGCAGUAUGCCAAUAUGCCAUACAGUCGCAUAAUCCCCUUGCCCGGGACAUCAUGCAUACUGCCGUUUCAAAGGGUAAUAGCGUGGACAGCUGGGCUGCCGCUCAGUGCUUGGCUCUAGAAGGUGCUGCCACAUACCCUGUGAUUAAGAGGAUCCUCCAGCAGCUGUUUAAUAAGAAGAAUGAUGACACUGAACGCCACUCUUGUAUGCUCCUGAGCCAUCUCAGCAGGAAGACAACCUUGAUACACACCAUGCUUGCUGUGGAGCUAAAUAGCUACCAGUGGAAGGACCGGAUUGUGGCCUGCCGGGCUCUCUCACAGAUCGGGGGAAAUGUCAGUUUGGAUAUGAAACAUAAGUUAAUCCAAUUAAUGCUGAGUGACUGGAAUAAGGAAGUGAGACACGCAGCUGCCCAAGCUCUGGGGCAAAUGAGCCUUGGGAAAGAGGUGCAUAACACCAUCAGAGUCAAACUGAGUCAAGGAAAUUUCCGGGAACGUGUGGAAGCUCUCUCCCUGAUUGGUGGACUCAAGCUCAUGACUGCCAGGCUUCUCCCCAGCUUCCUCAACUGCUUCUCUGAUGACUUCAUGGCAGUUCGCCGGGCAGCCUGUUUAGCAGCAGGUGCCCUACAGAUCCGUGAUAAUAUGGUCCUUGAAUGCCUUUUGAAUCUGAUACAGAGGGAUCCUUAUUGGAAAAUCAAGGCAUUUGCCAUUCAAGCUUUGGGUCAGAUUGGCCAAGUGAGUCCCCAGCUGACAGACCUCCUGCUCUGGGCUAUCCAUUAUGAAAAGUCACCAGGUGUACGACUAGAAGCUUGCCGUAGCAUCCUAGCCCUCAAUCUUCAAGGGGAUCGGGUCAGAGACACCUUCCUAGAUGUGCUGCUCCUAGAGAAUCACGAGGCUGUUCUAAAGGAAAUUGACCAGGCAAUGAAAAUACUCAACUUAGAAAAUGAAGGAAACCAAGAAAUGCUUCAGGAGAUCAAGAACAGGAUUCAAACACUAAGCCAAAAGGACUUGCUGACACAGAAAAUAUUCAAGAUGGAGAGGGUCAUAGGAAAAGUGAAGGAGGAAGCAAAACGUGUUUACUUGCAACCCAAGGAGGGGCAAAAACCACUGAAACUCUGUACUUUACUACAAGAAACUUUUCAGGAUGAAGUGGUGAUUCCUAGAAAACCGUCUGAAACUUGUGACAUUAAAACAGUCAUAAAGCCUGUGAGGCCCCACACACCAAAUCCCUGGUCACAGAGUCCAGUCCUCAACCUAAACACAAGAAGCAGAAGUCAAUCGUCAUGUGUGAAAGAUCUACGCAGUGCCCGGGAGAAAAGGAUUAUGAUGGGACCAUUUGGAUCGGACAACCUGGAUCUCUAACAGGAUAAAUACUCAGAAAUUUUUUCCAGGGUCAUGUUCUCUUCCCUUGGAAGGAAAGUUCUGGCUUUAUCAAGUGAUCCAUUCUGGAUCAGCUAGACAACCUUUGUCCACUUUGUGCAAGAGCAGAAAAAUAAUAUCUGUUCCUGUGAUAAUUGUGACCUGGGGUGACUGCUGUUUAGGUCACUCAGGACAGAAGAAACACAGAGUUUGAAGGAGAGAAGAGUCACAGGAAGAGGAACUUGAUAUUGCUACACCUCUCCAUUAACCUCACAGAACUUUCUCAGCAACUUCUGCUUUGAACCUUUCUGUGCACAAAUCCAGUAAUGUCUGGGGACAUGUCAGGAGGAGAAGCAUACAGAGCUAGUGCAUCUCUGAAAAUCCAAGGGCCUGUUUAACUCACAGCUGCACAGGUGACUUGAUUUGGAAUCAGUGGUAUAAGCUGUCAUCAUCUGCGAGAAUGUUUAUUGAGCUCUAAUGGUACAGCACCACAGCAGUCACCGCUUGAGAAGGUGGUUCUGCAUCAAGAAACAGUUCCAGUCUAAAGGAUUCUAAGGCAUUUCCUUGUGAGGAUUGUUUUCUCUUCCUCAUGGAAUAUGGACAGAAGGAAAGAACAUGUACAUUUAGCAGGCAGGAGAAGAAGGGGUUGGGGGAGAAAGAGAGAUUGGGAAUAGAUACUCUUAACCUAAAAAGAUGA